rnacentral:lncRNA from 1 species
CUCAGCUCUGCCACCAGGAGCUUCUGAUCUACACCCAACCAGUUUCCCUAGCCCAGCAACCAACAUGGUGAGGAGGUGAGUCAGCCUGACCUGGUCAAAUCCCAGCUUCACUACUUAGCAGAUGGAGGCUCCUGGGAGCUUCCCAAGCCAUCUGUAAGGAAGACCCAUGUUCCCAUAUCCCUCUGUGAAUGAGACCCUCAGAAUGUGCUGGAAAAUUCUGGAAGGCCCCUCAUCUCACAGCACUGCCUCUGCCUCAGGGAGGAUGAAGCAUUGCCCCGGUUCAUCACAAGUUCAAGUACUUGGCCACCUGGCCAGAGGCCAAGGGUGCAGCUCUCCGGGCUUCUUCCCCACCAGCUGUCUGAGGCUAGCUAGGAAAUAUCCACAACAAUGUCAAAGGGAACUCCUGGAUGAAAUGAGCCUUCCCAGCAUCCUCUGCAGCUAAGAUGUGAAACUGUGACCUUAGCCCCACCAAGGGGUUCCAUCUUUGGGAGAUUUCAUCUGUAGAAAAAACAAUGCAAAGUAACAGAUGCCAUUUUCAGGGAAAGGUAAAGAAUGAGGUGUCUAAUCUGCAGGGAGAGCAGUGGAGAGGUAUUGGCAUUCUUGACAACCAGCCCUGCCCCAGGUUGUGCAACAUCCAAGCCUGACUCUCCUCCCUCCUGAAGAUUCUGGAGCUAGUAAACAUUCUGUAACAAAUUCUUCUUCGAACCAGAAAGUAUUCCAGUUUUUGCAGCUAAGUCCCUGAUGGAUAGAGUAUGACCAACGAUUUAGGACUGAAGUAUGUGGCGC